UCUAGCCAAUCAAGUUUACGUUCCAUUGUUCAUGUGACGCCGAAACAGGAAGGCGGUGAAGUUCAGGUGAGCUCUGGUCAGAGCUCGGCAUGGCUCAGAACACACAUGAUGGUGCUUCGGAUAGUCAGGCUGAUGAAAUUAUGCAGUCAGCCAGGCGCUUACUGCAUUUAAUCAGUUCGUCUGAAAGACAACGGUGCGCAGCCAGUGGUGGAGUAACAAAUCAAGUUCUGAGAGAACAGAGGCAUACAGAGAGACCAUCACUUCAAAUGGAAAUGACCAGGUCCUUUCCAGGUGUUUUUAUCAAGGGCAGAGGGAAGAGGCGCUUUCCUGCAGCAAAUCUUGUUCCUGCCAAGAGACUUAAACCACUUGAUGUGGCUUUCUAUUUGUUGCCAAAGCAGUGUGAAAAAACCCCAAAAGAGUAGGAGCAAAUAGACCAUAUGCAUGCAGGAUUGGGCCGUAGGACUGCUCAUCUAGACGAAAGCACGACACAUGAAGAGUUAUGUGAUGCCCUCAAAGUUUUAUUUCCAAAAUUGGGGGCCGUGACUGGUGGGUGGCUGCUAUACAAAUCUGCAGGUAGGCCAACACAGGUUUGUGU